AAUUAAAAGUAGUUUCUGCCCAAUGAAUAUUUAAAUGGCUGCAGUAUUUUGACUGUGCAAAGGUAGCAUAAUAAUUAGUCUUUUAAUUGAGGACUGGAAUGAAUGGAUAUAUGAGAAAUAUAUUUUAUUAUUUUAAUUUUUAAAAUUUAAUUUUUAAGUAAAAAAGCUUAAUUUAAUUUUAGGGACGAAAAGACCCUAUAGAACUUUAUUUUUAAUAUAGUUAUAUAAUUUUAGUAAAAUAAAUUAUUUUAAUUAAAAUUAAAAAUUUGGUUGGGGGGACAAUUAAAUUUAAAACUUUAUUUUUUUUAUUCAUUUAUUUAUGAUUAUAACGAUCCAUUAUUUAUUAAUGAUUAAAAGACAAAGUUACCUUAGGGAUAACAGCGUAAUUUUAAUGGAGAGAUCAUAUCUAUAUUGAAGUUUGCGACCUCGAUGUUGAAUUAAGAAAAGUUUGGGGGGUAGUUUCUUUAAAAUCUAAGUCUGUUCGACU
rnacentral:rRNA from 1 species